GAAAGAAACAAAAAAAAACUAAAUGUUUCGGGUUAAAUAGGUCACGCCAAUGAAUUAUCGUAUUUUAAGUUAUUUUUUCAAUUUUUGAAUUUUUUUUUUGCUUUGAAUCCUCAAAAGAGUAGAGGAGAUCAAAAAGAGUUCGAAAUAAUUUCACGCAGAGGCAAAACCCAAGAAAGAGAAAACAAUUUUUCCACUCUCUCUCUCAAUUUUUGUUAUGAAAA
rnacentral:ribozyme from 13 species